rnacentral:tRNA from 1 species
UGUCCAGGGAUGGGAAACGAACCCACAGUGUUACGCUUACCGGGCAGAUGCCAUGUCCACUAGGCUACCCAGGAC